CAUUAGCCCUUAGAGUUUGAUCCUGGCUCAGGAUGAACGCUAGCUACAGGCUUAACACAUGCAAGUCGAGGGGAAACGACAUCGAAAGCUUGCUUUUGAUGGGCGUCGACCGGCGCACGGGUGAGUAACGCGUAUCCAACCUGCCCACCACUUGGGGAUAACCUUGCGAAAGUAAGACUAAUACCCAAUGACGUCUCUAGAAGACAUCUGAAGGAGAUUAAAGAUUUAUCGGUGAUGGAUGGGGAUGCGUCUGAUUAGCUUGUUGGCGGGGUAACGGCCCACCAAGGCUACGAUCAGUAGGGGUUCUGAGAGGAAGGUCCCCCACAUUGGAACUGAGACACGGUCCAAACUCCUACGGGAGGCAGCAGUGAGGAAUAUUGGUCAAUGGGCGAGAGCCUGAACCAGCCAAGUAGCGUGCAGGAUGACGGCCCUAUGGGUUGUAAACUGCUUUUAUAAGGGAAUAAAGUGAGCCUCGUGAGGCUUUUUGCAUGUACCUUAUGAAUAAGGACCGGCUAAUUCCGUGCCAGCAGCCGCGGUAAUACGGAAGGUCCGGGCGUUAUCCGGAUUUAUUGGGUUUAAAGGGAGCGUAGGCCGGAGAUUAAGCGUGUUGUGAAAUGUAGACGCUCAACGUCUGCACUGCAGCGCGAACUGGUUUCCUUGAGUACGCACAAAGUGGGCGGAAUUCGUGGUGUAGCGGUGAAAUGCUUAGAUAUCACGAAGAACUCCGAUUGCGAAGGCAGCUCACUGGAGCGCAACUGACGCUGAAGCUCGAAAGUGCGGGUAUCGAACAGGAUUAGAUACCCUGGUAGUCCGCACGGUAAACGAUGGAUGCCCGCUGUUGGUCUGAAUAGGUCAGCGGCCAAGCGAA
rnacentral:rRNA from 1 species